CGGGACGUAGCGCAGUCUGGUAGCGCAUGAAUGGGGUUCAGGGGGUCGGAGGUUCAAAUCCUCUCGUCCCGA
rnacentral:tRNA from 1 species